GACGAACGCUGGCGGCGUGCCUAAUACAUGCCAGUCGAGCGGACCGGAUUGGGGCUUGCCUUGAUUCGGUCAGCGGCGGACGGGUGAGUAACACGUGGGCAACCUGCCCGCAAGACCGGGAUAACUCCGGGAAACCGGAGCUAAUACCGGAUAACACCGAAGACCGCAUGGUCUUCGGUUGAAAGGCGGCCUUUGGGCUGUCACUUGCGGAUGGGCCCGCGGCGCAUUAGCUAGUUGGUGAGGUAACGGCUCACCAAGGCGACGAUGCGUAGCCGGCCUGAGAGGGUGACCGGCCACACUGGGACUGAGACACGGCCCAGACUCCUACGGGAGGCAGCAGUAGGGAAUCUUCCGCAAUGGGCGAAAGCCUGACGGAGCGACGCCGCGUGAGCGAAGAAGGCCUUCGGGUCGUAAAGCUCUGUUGUGAGGGACGAAGGAGCGUCGUUCGAAGAGGGCGGCGCGGUGACGGUACCUCACGAGAAAGCCCCGGCUAACUACGUG
rnacentral:rRNA from 1 species